rnacentral:ncRNA from 3 species
GGGAGGGGGCGGGCGGGCCGGCGGGCGGGGGGAGCCGCCGCCGCCGCCGCCGCUCGAUUUCCGUAAUUUUGAGAAGAUUUUUUUUUAGUAAUUUUUUAUUCUGCCCCAGCUGAUGUUUGAGCCAGCAUGUCGCGGAGGAAGCAAGCGAAGCCUCAACAUUUCCAAUCCGACCCCGAAGUGGCCUCGCUCCCCCGGCGAGAUGCCUUCGUAGAUGACCACACACCAUUUGUACAACAGAAGUUGGUGUUCCCCAUGCUGGGCAAACAAUGGGAAGCCAUCCUGUCUUUGAAUAGGAUGUUAGCUUGGAGUUAGAGAUUUUUCUGUUUAAUUUACAAAUGGAUCUUAGUGAGAAGACAUCUGAGCAACCAAUGGAAACAAACAUGAAAUAAAGGGAUUUUUAUAAUAAA